GCUAGUGAAUUUGGUAACAGCCUUUGUGCCUUCAGAGACGGCAUGCUUAGCCAAUUCACCAGGAAGGACCAAUCGAACAGCCGUCUGAAUUUCCCGAGAAGUUAUAGUAGGCUUCUUGUUGUAGCGGGCAAGUCGGGAAGCUUCCUGAGCAAGUUUCUCAAAGAUAUCAUUGAUGAAACUGUUCAUGAUACCCAUAGCUUUGCUUGAAAUACCGAUAUCAGGAUGAACCUGCUUCAGAACUUUGAAGAUAUAGAUCUUGUAAGUCUCAACAGCCUUCUUCGACCUCUUCUUCUUCUUGUCACCGGCGGCAGCAUCCUUUGGGAGCUUCUUCCCAGCCUUUGGCUUCUUCUCCGCCGGA
rnacentral:misc_RNA from 1 species